GUUCACGCUGUGAUUGGGUGGCCUAUCUAGGGCCCUGCCUCCAAACCCGCCCCUCGUUCCUUCCCGGCUUUAGCUACACACCUGUUCUUAAAGGGGCCGCAGGGAAACCAAAGCGCACCUCUGGCUUUCUGUGCUCCACACAUUCUCACCCUAGCACAGAAUUUGGAGGUGCGUGAGCUGACUCGGCCUGCCCUCGGUGUUUCUGAUUGAGCAGUCAGUUUACCUACUUGGAGCAGGACCACUCACUAGUUCAUCCGUCGUCUGUCAUCCAUCCAUCCAUCCAUCCAUCCAUCCAUCCAUCCAUCCAUCCAUCCAUCCUCUCAGUCAUGCCAAAGGAAAGCGCUUUUCGGCCUUUGCGGUCAAUGAGGAAGCGACCUCCAACUGAGCAACCCUGUGAUGAGAACACAUAUAUCUUCUGCAAAGCUUUGCGUCUGUUGUUAGAAUCCAUGGAAUCAAAGGAUAUAAGAUAAUUAUAAAAUGUCAAUCAAACAAUUUUGUAAAAGUUAAUGUAUGACCUAUUCCAUUAUCUGUAAGGAAGCAUGUGUGUUGAAAACGAAAAUGUAUGUGUAACCAUUGAGUAUAUAAAAAUAAAAUCAGCCUGAGCCUGUA